AUUGAACGCUGGCGGCAUGCUUUACACAUGCAAGUCGAACGGUAACAGGCCGCAAGGUGCUGACGAGUGGCGAACGGGUGAGUAAUGCAUCGGAACGUGCCCAGUCGUGGGGGAUAACGCAGCGAAAGCUGCGCUAAUACCGCAUACGAUCUGUGGAUGAAAGCGGGGGACCGUAAGGCCUCGCGCGAUUGGAGCGGCCGAUGUCAGAUUAGGUAGUUGGUGGGGUAAAGGCUCACCAAGCCAACGAUCUGUAGCUGGUCGGAGAGGACGACCAGCCACACUGGGACUGAGACACGGCCCAGACUCCUACGGGAGGCAGCAGUGGGGAAUUUUGGACAAUGGGCGCAAGCCUGAUCCAGCAAUGCCGCGUGCAGGAAGAAGGCCUUCGGGUUGUAAACUGCUUUUGUACGGAACGAAACGGCUCUCACUAAUACUGAGGGCUAAUGACGGUACCGUAAGAAUAAGCACCGGCUAACUACGUGCCAGCCGCCGCGGUAAUAC
rnacentral:rRNA from 1 species